rnacentral:lncRNA from 1 species
GAGUGUUUUAGUGUUUAAUGAUCUUGAUUUAGAGUUUAAGAUUUAUCCUAGAGUUUAAGAUUUAUCCUAGGGUUUAGGGUUUACCCAAGGGUUUAGGGUUUAGGGAUUAAGAUUUAAGGUUUAAUGUUUUGCUGACGACGUUAAAAAUAUUUUUUUUUUGUAAUUACUACUAUUUUUUAUUUAUUUCUUUUUAUAUUUUAAUUUUAGAAAGAUAAUAUCAUUUGAGAAUAUUUUGUUUCCUUUUUUAAAAGAUAUCAAAUAUGAAAUAACACAAUUUUAUUGGUUGGUGAACCUAGAGGUUCAUACUAGGGGGUGAACCCAAGAAUAAGUCUUUCCUUAACCGGUCAAUCUUGACGUGGCUUUCAUACUUUUUAAUUAUAUUGUUCACUUGUAAUAGUUUUUUUUUUUUUUCUGUUUAAGAUGGGUUCGGGCCUUCGGCCUUACUCCUCCUUAUACCCGGAGCUAGCUUUUGUCUGUACCUGUUACGGCCCUGAACACUUCUCCCCACCCGAGACUCGUGACCUCUCAGACAAAUGUCUGAGGUGUUACCAGUUGAGCUAGCUCGUC